CCUACGGGAGGCAGCAGUGAGGAAUAUUGGUCAAUGGACGAGAGUCUGAACCAGCCAAGUAGCGUGAAGGAUGACUGCCCUAUGGGUUGUAAACUUCUUUUAUAUGGGAAUAAAACGUUCCACGUGUGGGAUUUUGUAUGUACCAUAUGAAUAAGGAUCGGCUAACUACGUGCCAGCAGCCGCGGUAAUACGGAGGAUCCGAGCGUUAUCCGGAUUUAUUGGGUUUAAAGGGAGCGUAGGUGGAUUGUUAAGUCAGUUGUGAAAGUUUGCGGCUCAACCGUAAAAUUGCAGUUGAAACUGGCAGUCUUGAGUACAGUAGAGGUGGGCGGAAUUCGUGGUGUAGCGGUGAAAUGCUUAGAUAUCACGAAGAACUCCGAUUGCGAAGGCAGUUCACUGGACUGCAACUGACACUGAGGCUCGAAAGUGUGGGUAUCAAACAGGAUUAGAUACCCCUGUAGUC
rnacentral:rRNA from 1 species